UGGGCGUAAGGGCUCGCAGGCGGUUUCUUAAGUCUGAUGUGAAAGCCCCCGGCUCAACCGGGGAGGGUCAUUGGAAACUGGGAAACUUGAGUGCACAAGAGGAGAGUGGAAUUCCACGUGUAGCGGUGAAAUGCGUAGAGAUGUGGAGGAACACCAGUGGCGAAGGCGACUCUCUGGUCUGUAACUGACGCUGAGGAGCGAAAGCGUGGGGAGCGAACAGGAUUAGAUACCCUGGUAGUCCACGCCGUAAACGAUGAGUGCUAAGUGUUAGGGGGUUUCCGCCCCUUAGUGCUGCAGCUAACGCAUUAAGCACUCCGCCUGGGGAGUACGGUCGCAAGACUGAAACUCAAAGGAAUUGACGGGGGCCCGCACAAGCGGUGGAGCAUGUGGUUUAAUUCGAAGCAACGCGAAGAACCUUACCAGGUCUUGACAUCCUCUGACAACCCUAGAGAUAGGGCUUUCCCUUCGGGGACAGAGUGACAGGUGGUGCAUGGUUGUCGUCAGCUCGUGUCGUGAGAUGUUGGGUUAAGUCCCGCAACGAGCGCAACCCUUGAUCUUAGUUGCCAGCAUUCAGUUGGGCACUCUAAGGUGACUGCCGGUG
rnacentral:rRNA from 1 species